rnacentral:lncRNA from 1 species
CACGAUGCUCGUUUUCAGUACUGUCUCCAACGGUGCCCCAUCGAUCGAAACUUUUCUUGAUGAAUCCUGCACCAUAGCUUCCGAUGAUGGGGAUGUGGGCUCGAUGGCGGGAGUAGCAUAAUUUUCUUCCCUGACCAUGGGUUCUGCUUCAGUAACUGGAACCACAACCUAUUUUUUUCGAGCCAGAAUCUGCUCUAGCCUCUUCACGUGCUGUGGAUCCAUCUUGCCCCAAGAAAGUAACGAGAAAUCAAUAUGAGAAAAUCUGUGGAUACUCGUUCUUCAAAAGCACGAAUUUAAAGGAAGAAAAAAAUGAAAAGCUGUUGCAAAAUAAUUAAAGCUUCGAGAGGACCAUCGUCUGAGUGGUUCCAUCAAUUAUGCCUAUCUGCAUCGGA